rnacentral:lncRNA from 1 species
AGAUAAAGGAAAUUAAAGGUCAAAGAGAUUAUCUGACUUGUCCAACAGCCUGAAUGUAUCCUUUGUGGUCCUGGCAGGAAAUAGAUGGCACAUCUCAAGGAUUUGACUGAAAAUAGUUGAAGAGUAAAGCUAAGGGGGCCAAAAAGAAAAAAAAAAAAAAAAAAGAUGGUAAAGCACUCAGGGACUAAAAGCAGGAAGCAGGACUACACGCCGAGGCCUGAAGAAGAGGAAACAAUGUUCCCGGAGCCUGGUGAAAGCUGCCACCACGAGAGGAUCUGUGUGGCAGGAGCUGUGGCCUCGGACAGUGAACACAGGUUAGGCUGAAGCCUCUGCAUGUCCCGAUGCCUGAUGGAGAUGGAGGAAUCCUUUCUACCCAGACAGAAGUCACACUAUGUAGCCUGUCCUCUUUAGAACUGAAUCCGAUUGGGAUUUCUUCAUGGUCUCCACCCUGGAAAACCAGCUUGAAUUCUUGUAUGCGGGCCAGAUUCCAAGAGACAUCAUAAUUAGAUCCCAGAAGACUACAUGGCAGCUGAAGAGGAUGUCCCCUGUGGAAUAUAUGGAGGAAAGGCUGGCCAAAGCAAUGUUCACAUUCAUGCAAUUAUCCAGUUAAUUGCACAAGUCAAACCAAGACUUGUUCUAAAGCCACAAUAACAACGAAAUUGAUGCUUUCAUCUCCCAGAAAUAUGGCUGUGCUGUGAUCCAUGAAUUUUAAAUUAGAAGUAAAUCUAGGACUGAACUACUAAUUUUCCCCAUCAGCUGAAGAGUUUUGGCAAUGAACAGCUUGCAGCUGAAUCCCCUUCUGGAAAUUAUCCUUGGCUAAAGAGACACACUUUGAUGAAUGUCAUGUACUCUUCCCUGGGGCAGUGUACACCCAGUGACUGGCUGAUGCAGUGGUAUAAAGGUCUGCUCCACUUGCCCUAAAUUCAGGACAACUCCGUAAAGCCAUCCCAGCCCCAGAGCUCUCUGUGCCAUGAGCUGAGUUCUUUGUUGUGAGAGUAUCACAGCUCCCCUUUCUCCCUAAUCCUACUUCCUCACUCCCUCACAAGUGUUGAGUCCUUACAAACUUGCUGAGGAACUUAACCUGGGAAAACUCUUAAAUAAGUCAGUAUAAUUAGAUUAAUUAUAGUAUUUAAGAAUUUUAUAUAAUAUAAUAAGUAUAAUAAGAAAAUUCAGAAAAUUUAACAUUGAUGCAAUAUGAUAAUCAAAUUGUCAAUACCAUAUUUUACCAAUUGUCCUAAUUUGUCCUUCAUGGCAAUUUUAUUUUUUCUAAUUCAAGAUCCAAUCCAGACCAUAUAUUUUAUUUAGUUGUCAUACUGGUUUAGUCUCUCUUAACUCUAAAAAGUUCCUCAACUUUGCUUUGCUUUGCUUUGCUUUCCCAGACACUGACAUUUUCGAAGAACAUAGAUCAGUUAUUUUGUAGGAUGCCCCUCAAUUUGGGUUUGUCUGAUUGCUUCUUUAGGAUUAGAUUUAGAGUUUGGUUUUCAUAAUUCAUCAACUGGUCAUACAACUUUUUCUAAUUUUUAAGGUUAUACAGCUAAUUCUAAAAUAUCUAAAAAUUUCCAUCAUCUUUAUUUGAAUUACUUGGCAUAUGAUAGGCAAUCUGCUCCACUGUAACCAUUUAUGUUAAAGCUAUGUCUUUGGAUUAUAAUGUAAUCCUUUUGGGGACACCUUAAAAUAAUAAUUAGGUAUCCAAAUUUAAGGUUCUGUCACAACUACAAGGUGUUUAACUGAGGCAAGUAACUGGGUGAAUAGUUAUCUUCUCUGAUGACUAAGUCCACUCAUAUAGACGUUAAGAACUAUUAAUGUAUCACACUCCACUUCGUUGUGUAAAAUUGACAAAUUUCUUUUGACACUAAUCACAAGAUGCAUCAUGAAUUCAGAAAUAUUGAAGUGUGAAGGUAAUAUCCAUUUUAUGAUUGAAUCAUGUGCUAAAUACUGCAUGCAUCUUAUUUAAUACUGCAUCUCAUUUAACAUUCACAGCAACUUUAUAAGAUUGCUAUUAAAAAUAUUCCUAUUUUAUGGAUGAGAAAACUCAGGCUCAGGGAGGGUAAGUAACUUUUAUAAGAUCACAUAGUGAGUAAACAGCAUAGUCAAUAUUCAAACACAGAUCUUCUAUUUAUUUUAUACCACAUAUGCAAUUUCUUUUCCCAGUGUAGGCUUUCCCUAAUAUGAGUUUUAUAAUUCAGAUUCCACACUCUCAUUUAAAAAUUCUGGGGUAUCUACACUACUGUAUGCUCCCAAAUUCCUUAAGUACCAACUAGAGCUCUGAAACUACGUUAAACAUUUUGAAGAACAGAAAAAAAUCUGAUAGAAGCAUAUCAACUUUCAAGAAAUGUGCAACCUUAAAUAAUUUACAAAUGUGAAUGAGCAAAAAAUACAAAUCACCAUUAAAGUACUAAAUUGUACAGGGCUGUCCUACAGAAGUGCAGAGAAAAAAAAUGACCUUUAGCCAGAAUAAUCAUUGAAGUCUAUACGAAAAAUUGUCGUUCCAAACAAUUUUCAGUAAUUUGCAGCCAGUUAGUAAAUGACUUUGUUAAUGAGGACAACUGACAAUAAUAGUAAGAAACCAAUAGUUCCCUUGCAAGGAAAGGGUCAAAUCUAUUGAACUAAAGUUGUCACAGGUUGAGUUCCUUGGCAAAUUUAUAAGGACCCAACACUUAUGAGGGAGUGAGGAAGUAGGACUAGGUAGAGAGGGGAGCUGUGAUACUCUCAUAACAAAGAACUCAGCUCAUGGCACAGCGAGUUCUGGGGCUGGGAUGGCUUUACGGAAUUGUCCUGAAUUUGCAGCAAGUGGAACAGACCUUUAUAGCACUGCAUCAGCCAGUCACUGGGUGUGAUUGUCACUUUAGGGAAACUGGGUAUCUGGAGAGAAAAAGCCAAACAUUUAGACUUUAUUAUCAUCUGAAUUCCCCAUCCUCCUAAUUCAUAUGCUGAAGUUCUAACCCCUAGUACCUCAGAAUAUGACCAUAUUUGAAAAUAGGGCCUUUAAAGAGGUAAUUAAGUUAAAAUGAGGUUAUUAGAGUAGACCCUAAGCACGGGGUCCUUACAAGAAGAGGAAAUUUGGACACAGAUUUGUGCAGAGGGACUUGCACAGAUGGAAGACCAUGUGAAAACACUGGGAGAAGAAUGUCAUCUACAAGCCAAGGAGAGAGGGCUGGAACGUAUCUUUCCCUCAAUGUCCAAAACAGGAACCAACCCUGCCUACACCUUGAUCUCAGCCUUCUAGCCUUCAGCACUGUGAGAUGAUACCUUCUUUCAUUUAAGCCACCCAGUCUAUGGUACUUCGUUAUGGCAGCCUUAGCAAACUAAUACGGAUUCCUCAUCAGGUUCAGAUUUUGCUAAAUAAAAUGUGUUUGUGAGGGUGGUACAAGCAACAGUGAUAUAUUUCUUUAAGUAUUUUCCCCCAGCCAAAUUCCAACAAGACAAUAAUGUCUAAUGCACUGUCUGGUGAAUCGGAAAAUCUCCUGAAUGAAAUAAGAGCCUCUAAUACCCAAAAGGGAAUGAAGUGAGUCAUCACCACAGCCUGUGAAUGAAAAUAACUGCUCUGAGAAAACACAUGUAAAAAAUGACACCAUGUGGAUUAAAUAGGGAAACACAAGUAUAUCCAGAUAAAUUGGGUGUUUUCCCUGUACCAAUUACAGCUAUUCUAUAAAUCCCAGAUUAUAAAUCUUCA